rnacentral:rRNA from 1 species
CUACGGGAGGCAGCAGUGGGGAAUUUUCCGCAAUGGGCGAAAGCCUGACGGAGCAAUACCGCGUGAGGGAAGACUGCCUAUGGGUUGUAAACCUCUUUUUUCAGGGAGGAAUCAAUGACGUGUACCUGAAGAAUAAGCAUCGGCUAACUCCGUGCCAGCAGCCGCGGUAAGACGGAGGAUGCAAGUGUUAUCCGGAAUCACUGGGCGUAAAGCGUCUGUAGGUGGUUUAAUAAGUCAACUGUUAAAUCUUGAGGCUCAACUUCAAAAUCGCAGUCGAAACUAUUAGACUAGAGUAUAGUAGAGGUAAAGGGAAUUUCCAGUGGAGCGGUGAAAUGCGUAGAUAUUGGAAAGAACACCGAUGGCGAAAGCACUUUACUGGGCUAUUACUAACACUCAGAGACGAAAGCUAGGGUAGCAAAUGGGAUUAGAUACCCCAGUAGUCCUAGCCGUAAACAAUGGAUACUAGAUGUUGAACAGAUCGACCUGUGCAGUAUCAAAGCUAACGCGUUAAGUAUCCCGCCUGGGAAGUAUGCUCGCAAGAGUGAAACUCAAAG